AUUGAACGCUGGCGGCAGGCCUAACACAUGCAAGUCGAGCGGAUGAAGGGAGCUUGCUCCUGGAUUCAGCGGCGGACGGGUGAGUAAUGCCUAGGAAUCUGCCUGGUAGUGGGGGAUAACGUCCGGAAACGGGCGCUAAUACCGCAUACGUCCUGAGGGAGAAAGUGGGGGAUCUUCGGACCUCACGCUAUCAGAUGAGCCUAGGUCGGAUUAGCUAGUUGGUGGGGUAAAGGCCUACCAAGGCGACGAUCCGUAACUGGUCUGAGAGGAUGAUCAGUCACACUGGAACUGAGACACGGUCCAGACUCCUACGGGAGGCAGCAGUGGGGAAUAUUGGACAAUGGGCGAAAGCCUGAUCCAGCCAUGCCGCGUGUGUGAAGAAGGUCUUCGGAUUGUAAAGCACUUUAAGUUGGGAGGAAGGGCAGUAAGUUAAUACCUUGCUGUUUUGACGUUACCAACAGAGUAAGCACCGCUAA
rnacentral:rRNA from 1 species